UUUCCGUAGGUGAACCUGCGGAAGGAUCAUUAAAAAUGAAGCCGGGAAACCGGUCCUUCUAACCCUUGAUUAUCUUAAUUUGUUGCUUUGGCGGGCCGCGCAAGCACCGGCUUCGGCUGGAUCGUGCCCGCCGGAGGACACAACUCUGUAUCAAAUGUCGUCUGAGUACUAUAAAAUAGUUAAAACUUUCAACAACGGAUCUCUUGGUUCUG
rnacentral:misc_RNA from 1 species